CAGUAGCCGCGGGAAUACGUAGGGUGCAAGCGUUAAUCGGAAUUACUGGGCGUAAAGCGUGCGCAGGCGGUUUGUUAAGACAGAUGUGAAAUCCCCGGGCUCAACCUGGGAACUGCAUUUGUGACUGGCAAGCUAGAGUGUGGCAGAGGGGGGUGGAAUUCCGCGUGUAGCAGUGAAAUGCGUAGAGAUGUGGAGGAAUACCGAUGGCGAAGGCAGCCCCCUGGGCCAAUACUGACGCUCAUGCACGAAAGCGUGGGGAGCAAACAGGAUUAGAUACCCGCGUAGUCCCUGUCUCUUAUAC
rnacentral:rRNA from 1 species